UACGUAGGGUGCAGGCGUUAAUCGGAAUUACUGGGCGUAAAGCGUGCGCAGGCGGUUUCUUAAGUCAGAUGUGAAAGCCCCGGGCUUAACCUGGGAACUGCGUUUGAAACUGGGAGACUGGAGUGUGGCAGAGGGGGGUGGAAUUCCCGGUGUAGCGGUGAAAUGUGUAGAGAUCGGGAGGAACACCGGUGGCGAAGGCGGGUCUCUGGGCAUCUCCUGACGCUCAUGCACGAAAGCGUGGGGAGCAAACAGG
rnacentral:rRNA from 1 species